AAACUGCGAAUGGCUCAUUAAAUCAGUUAUCGUUUAUUUGAUAGUACCUUACUACUUGGAUAACCGUGGUAAUUCUAGAGCUAAUACAUGCUAAAAACCCCGACUUCGGAAGGGGUGUAUUUAUUAGAUAAAAAACCAAUGCCCUUCGGGGCUCCUUGGUGAAUCAUAAUAACUUAACGGAUCGCAUGGCCUUGCGCCGGCGACGGUUCAUUCAAAUUUCUGCCCUAUCAACUUUCGAUUGUAGGGUAUUGGCCUACAAUGGUAUCAACGGGUAACGGGGAAUUAGGGUUCGAUUCCGGAGAGGGAGCCUGAGAAACGGCUACCACAUCCAAGGAAGGCAGCAGGCGCGCAAAUUACCCAAUCCCGACACGGGGAGGUAGUGACAAUAAAUACUGAUACAGGGCUCUUUUGGGUCUUGUAAUUGGAAUGAGUACAAUUUAAAUCCCUUAACGAGGAACAAUUGGAGGGCAAGUCUGGUGCCAGCAGCCGCGGUAAUUCCAGCUCCAAUAGCGUAUAUUAAAGUUGUUGCAGUUAAAAAGCUCGUAGUUGAACCUUGGGCCUGGCUGGCCGGUCCGCCUCACCGCGUGCACUGGUCCGGCCGGGCCUUUCCUUCUGGAGAACCGCAUGCCCUUCACUGGGUGUGUCGGGGAACCAGGACUUUUACUUUGAAAAAAUUAGAGUGUNCAAAGCAGGCCUUUGCUCGAAUACAUUAGCAUGGAAUAAUAGAAUAGGACGUGCGGUCCUAUUUUGUUGGUUUCUAGGACCGCCGUAAUGAUUAAUAGGGAUAGUCGGGGGCAUCAGUAUUCAAUUGUCAGAGGUGAAAUUCUUGGAUUUAUUGAAGACUAACUACUGCGAAAGCAUUUGCCAAGGAUGUUUUCAUUAAUCAGUGAACGAAAGUUAGGGGAUCGAAGACGAUCAGAUACCGUCGUAGUCUUAACCGAAAGCGAUGCCGACUAGGGAUCGGGCGAUGUUAUUAUUUUGACUCGCUCGGC
rnacentral:rRNA from 1 species